UACGUAGGGACCGAGCGUUGUCCGGAAUCAUUGGGCGUAAAGAGCGUGUAGGCGGUCCGGUAAGUCCGCUGUGAAAGUCGGGGGCUCAACCCUCGAAUGCCGGUGGAUACUGUCGGGCUAGAGUGCGGAAGAGGCGAGUGGAAUUCCUGGUGUAGCGGUGAAAUGCGUAGAUAUCGGGGAGGAACACCAGUGGCGAAGGCGGUUGCCUGGAGCUUUGCUGACGCUGAUGCGCGAAAGCCAGGGGAGCAAACGGG
rnacentral:rRNA from 1 species